rnacentral:rRNA from 1 species
GACGAACGCUGGCGGCGUGCUUAACACAUGCAAGUCGAACGGUGAGGCCCGGCCUUGCUCUGGUGGUUCAGUGGCGAACGGGUGAGUAACACGUGAGUAACCUGCCCUUCACUUUGGGAUAACCUCUGGAAACUGUGGCUAAUACCGGAUAUGAGCUCCUGCUGCAUGGUGGGGGUUGGAAAGGUUCUGCGGUGGGGGAUGGACUCGCGGCCUAUCAGCUUGUUGGUGGGGUAGUGGCUCACCAAGGCUUCGACGGGUAGCCGGCCUGAGAGGGUGACCGGCCACACUGGGACUGAGAUACGGCCCAGACUCCUACGGGAGGCAGCAGUGGGGAAUAUUGCACAAUGGGCGGAAGCCUGAUGCAGCGACGCCGCGUGAGGGAUGACGGCCUUCGGGUUGUAAACCGCUUUCGGCAGGGAAGAAGCGAAAGUGACGGUACCGGCAGAAGAAGCACCGGCUAACUACGUG